AUACUUACCUGGCAGGGGAGAUACCAUGAUCACCAAAUAGGUUUCCCAGGAUGAGGCUCAUUCAUUGCACUCCGGGUGUAAAGACCUCUGCGAUUUCCCUAAAUGUGGGAAACUCGUGUGCAAAAACUCGACUGCAUAAUUUGUGGUGUGUUGUACUAUAUAAAUUAUAAU